rnacentral:lncRNA from 1 species
CCUUAACACAAAUUUAUUCCACUGACAGCCUUAAAAUGUCACCUGUGUAUUUACUAAAAGCAUUUAUUGUUAUACUUUUAAAUCCUAGCUAAUAUACCUGCAGCCACUGGUGCAAGAGGAGCGUGGCUUGCAGAGGAGGCAGUGGGGCCCUGGAGCACAUGGCUGGUGCUGUGUGGCCUCUCUGGGGUCAGGCAGCUCAGCAGCUCACACCCUUUCCUUUUUUCUUGCCCUGUGCUUUUUUUGGGGGUGGCAAUGCUUACAGUGGGCAGGGUCUGGAGCAGUGAACCUUCCUGAGGGAAAAGGCCAACAUUGCAAUGUAUUGGAUUUUUAACCUCUGCUGUUGGAAAGGAGGUUUUGUUCUAAGAAAGAGCUAACAGUCCCAGUAAAGCAUGAGUAAGGCCUGGCCUGUUGUGAGGGUGAGAAGCAGAGCCAAGAGAGGAGCCCACGGAGGCAGACACGGAGCUCCUGCUCCCCGGCUGCUCGGGCAGCAAGGCAGGGGCUGUGCCACCCUGGAGCAAAUGCCAUGGGGUGAGGGGACAGCAGUGCAGGGAGAAGGACACCAGGCCAUGGGGUGAGGGGACAGCAGUGCAGGGAGAAGGACACCAGGCCAUGGGGACAAGGGACAGCAGUGCAGGGAGAAGGACACCAGGCCAUGGGGACAAGGGACAGCAGUGCAGGGAGAAGGACACCAGGCCACCUGCAGAACAGCAAAGGGACAAAGGGACGACAGAGCUGCUGGUCCUUGCUGUGGGGUGUCCCACUUCUUGAAGACUACAGAAGAAUGCCAAAGGAAUUGAAAACAAGCAGCAAAAGCUUUAAAGUGUUCAAAAUAUUCUACCAGCUAUCUCAGAAUUUGCAGGCAGAUGGAAACAGAGCCAAAAGCGAGUCUGAGAAAUACUGACAGAAGAAAUUCUUAAGCAGCUUCUUUCUUCUUUAUAUUCAGAUUGUUAAACAAGGAUAUUUGAACUUUCUGUGCAUGGAAAAACACAGAGGGAAUCUGAUGGAUAUUUCUAUUUUAAUUUGAAAGACUACAGUAUAUCAGGGGAACAUGUGGGAAAGAAAUAUUAUGGAAGUGUGUAAUCUAUUUUAAGCUAACCUACUGUAGUAAGUGAAAAUGAGUGGAAAAAUAAUUGUGGCGGACUCUGAAUCACUUUAACACCAACACUGACUCACGUGUUUUGAAAUUGCAUAUUCUGCCUCAUCCACAUUCUACCUCCUUCCUGUUCUGGGGCUGUACUGAAUGUCUGGGUAAUACCCAUUGAUGCAGAUAAUGGUACUGCCACUUUCACCUUCCAAGCUCUGUUUCUGUGUUGAUCCUUGGCCAAAAUUCCUUCCUUUGGUAUAUUUAAUACAGGAGAUGCCAAAUACUUGCCAUUUUGCCUGUGUUUCAUUUACACUUAUUCCAUUUUGUCUUUGCAGGUAAAUAAUGAUGUGAAUUACCGGGGUUGCAGGGGGAAACUGGUGUUAAUGAAAUGCAAAAUUUAGCCUUCCUUGGCUUUGUUUUGAAUUACUGUUUUUCAUUUUAAUUAGAUUUGCAGCAGACUUCUACUUAAAAUGAAUACUUUUUUCUCUUAUUUUGUGACAAUCUCAGUAAUUACUUUUCUGGAUUUGUACUUUGGAAAGUUCUGUGUUUGGGUUUCUUUCUCUCACUGCCUCCUUCACAGGUUUCUGGAGUGCCUGGCUCCAUCACUGAUAAAUUUCUACCUAGGAUGGGUUUGUAUCUGUCACUUCUGGCUCAUUCAUUUUCUUUCUUGUUGGGAAUAAGGGACACAAAAAGUGAACUUUUUCAGGUGUCUGAGAAGACAGAACUCUGCAGUUUAGUAGAGUUAGCCUUUAAAAACUACGGGGGUGGAGGGGCAGGAGAGAGGGAUUACUGUGGAAAGCCUCACAGAUUAUACAUC